rnacentral:rRNA from 1 species
AGAGCGAACGCUGGCGGCAGGCCUAACACAUGCAAGUCGUGCGCCCCGCAAGGGGAGCGGCAGACGGGAGAGUAACACGUGGGAACGUACCCUUCAGUUCGGAACAACCCAGGGAAACUUGGGCUAAUACCGGAUACGUCCGUAAGGAGAAAGAUUUAUCGCUGAAGGAUCGGCCCGCGUCUGAUUAGCUUGUUGGUGAGGUAACGGCUCACCAAGGCGACGAUCAGUAGCUGGUCUGAGAGGAUGAUCAGCCUCACUGGGACUGAGACACGGCCCAGACUCCUACGGGAGGCAGCAGUGGGGAAUAUUGGACAAUGGGCGCAAGCCUGAAUCCAGCCAUGCCGCGUGGAUGAUGAAGGCCCUAGGGUUGUAAAGUCCUUUCGGCGGGGAAGAUAAUGACGGUACCCGCAGAAGAAGCCCCGGCUAACUUCGUGCCAGCAGCAGC